rnacentral:tRNA from 1 species
UGACUCAGUUGGUAGAGUGUGUGACUCUUGAUCUUGGGGUUGUGGGUUCAAGACCCAC